UACGAAGGGGGCUAGCGUUGUUCGGAAUUACUGGGCGUAAAGCGCACGUAGGCGGAUAUUUAAGUCAGGGGUGAAAUCCCAGAGCUCAACUCCAGAACUGCCUUUGAUACUGAGGAUCUUGAGUUCGGGAGAGGUGAGUGGAACUGCGAGUGUAGAGGUGAAAUUCGUAGAUAUUCGCAAGAACACCAGUGGCGAAGGCGGCUCACUGGCCCGGUACUGACGCUGAGGUGCGAAAGCGUGGGGAGCAAACAGG
rnacentral:rRNA from 1 species